rnacentral:rRNA from 1 species
UACGUAGGGGGCAAGCGUUGUCCGGAUUUAUUGGGCGUAAAGAGCGUGUAGGCGGCCAGACAGGUCAGCUGUGAAAACUCGAGGCUCAACCUCGAGACGUCGGUUGAAACCGUCUGGCUAGAGUCCGGAAGAGGAGAGUGGAAUUCCCGGUGUAGCGGUGAGAUGCGCAGAUAUCGGGAAGAACACCCGUGGCGAAGGCGGCUCUCUGGGACGGUACUGACGCUGAGACGCGAAAGCGUGGGGAGCGAACAGG